rnacentral:rRNA from 1 species
AUACGUAGGUGACAAGCGUUAUCCGGAUUUACUGGGUGUAAAGGGCGUGUAGGCGGUUUAUCAAGUCAGAAGUGAAAUUCCCGGGCUUAACUUGGGCGCUGCUUCUGAAACUGCUUUACUUGAGUGCUGGAGAGGAUAGUGGAAUUCCUAGUGUAGCGGUAAAAUGCGCAGAUAUUAGGAGGAACACCGGUGGCGAAGGCGGCUAUCUGGACAGUAACUGACGCUGAGGCGCGAAAGCACGGGGAGCAAACAGGAUUAGAUACCCUGGUAGUCCGUGCCGUAAACGAUGAAUGCUAGGUGUUGCGGGUAUCGACCCCUGCAGUGCCGGAGUAAACACAAUAAGCAUUCCGCCUGGGGAGUACGGCCGCAAGGUUGAAACUCAAAUGAAUUGACGGGG